rnacentral:rRNA from 1 species
AUUGAACGCUGGCGGCAUGCUUUACACAUGCAAGUCGAACGGCAGCACGGGUGCUUGCACCUGGUGGCGAGUGGCGAACGGGUGAGUAAUGCAUCGGAACGUGCCCAUGAGUGGGGGAUAGCCCGGCGAAAGCCGGAUUAAUACCGCAUACGCCCUUAGGGGGAAAGGCGGGGGAGUCUUCGGACCUCGCGCUAUUGGAGCGGCCGAUGUCGGAUUAGCUAGUAGGUGAGGUAAAGGGCUCACCUAGGCGACGAUCCGUAGCUGGUCUGAGAGGAUGAUCAGCCACACUGGGACUGAGACACGGCCCAGACUCCUACGGGAGGCAGCAGUGGGGAAUUUUGGACAAUGGGCGCAAGCCUGAUCCAGCCAUGCCGCGUGAGUGAAGAAGGCCUCGGUUGUAAG